UUUUAGUUGUAUUUGCUUUUACUGUGAAUAAGAUCCUAGAACGAACGCCACACGUUUGUAUUUAAAUUCUGCUCUGCUUUCUGUUAUGAUGAUGCCAACAAUCAUGCAAACCCCCUGCCGAUACUAAAAUAGUAUCAAUAAACAUCACAUUGUAUGUGUAUUCCUUUAGACUAAUUCAACAGAGAGUUUAGAAAUCAGCACAGUGUAGCUGGUUAUUACCCACAAUGCCUUAGUUUGUCGUUAUAGGGCAGUUUAUCAGAGCGAAUGUGCGAUGCAGAUACCAGAGGCCAUAAAAAGGAGAAUCAUGUCUUCUGAUAAACAUGCAAAUGAUUCCUAAUGCUAAAAUUACACAAAUUUCGUACAGCUCCAGGGCAAAGCAGCUUCUUAGAAAUCGUUCAGACAGACGGACACAGAUGCUCUAAGAGACUCCGGUCACUUCUGUGAGACACGGACAUGGACACGGACAUGGUCAGCAACAAUACUCAGUGUAAUCUGAUCAGAGUCUAAACAAGCCUGGAUGAAGGAAAGAGGAUGAACCUGUCUGAACGUUACGAACAUAUAGACACGUCUUCAGGUCACAUCUGAUGACGACAGUGUGACCUUUCACACACACACACAAGUGUCACAUCUCAUGAAGAUGCAGAGACUUCACUGAAGAUCUAAUAAUGCCUGUGAUUAGUGAAGCUUUGUCGAGCAGCUGGAGAAGUGUUUGUGUUUGCUGUUAAUUCAACUCCAGACUCUAAUUUCAGGGGCCUCCAGUCUUCGUAAAAAGACCCGCUGACAGCCGACACGUGUGGCAACAUUUCCCAGCGCCCCUCCUGAUCCAUUAACUACAGCCAUCCUGAAGUGCCCCGCUCUUUAAUGCUCAGAGCUUGACUUAUGA
ensembl:lncRNA